rnacentral:rRNA from 1 species
GACGAACGCUGGCGGCGUGCUUAACACAUGCAAGUCGAACGGAAAGGCCCUGCUUUUGUGGGGUGCUCGAGUGGCGAACGGGUGAGUAACACGUGAGUAACCUGCCCUUGACUUUGGGAUAACUUCAGGAAACUGGGGCUAAUACCGGAUAGGAGCUCCUGCUGCAUGGUGGGGGUUGGAAAGUUUCGGCGGUUGGGGAUGGACUCGCGGCUUAUCAGCUUGUUGGUGGGGUAGUGGCUUACCAAGGCUUUGACGGGUAGCCGGCCUGAGAGGGUGACCGGCCACAUUGGGACUGAGAUACGGCCCAGACUCCUACGGGAGGCAGCAGUGGGGAAUAUUGCACAAUGGGCGGAAGCCUGAUGCAGCAACGCCGCGUGCGGGAUGACGGCAUUCGGGUUGUAAACCGCUUUCGCAUGUGACGAAGCGUGAGUGACGGUAAUGGGUAAAGAAGCACCGGCUAACUACGUG